UCCAUGGGGCGGACACCGCAGGACAGGGCGGUGGCACCAGGCUCGCUAAGUCCCGCAGCUUGUCACUGAUCGGGACCGGGCGGCCGCGCUGCGCUGUAGCGGGCGGAGACUCAAUGCCCAGCGGGGGCAGACACAGACAGGCUCUGCGGGCUGGUCUCAGGUCCAUGCUCCGGAUUUUUGUCAUUUUCUUGAUAACACAACUACCUCAUUCGGAAGCUCUACAGUGCUACGCAGGCGAAUAUGAAAUAAAUGGCGAAUGCUGUCCUAUGUGCACUGCUGGGAGCAGGGUGUUCAAACAUUGUACACAAAAUGUCAGCACAACAUGCAUGCCCUGUGUGGACGACACAUAUACAGAGCAUCCCAAUGGCCUAACAGAGUGCAUGAGAUGUAAAGUCUGCGA